UGUAAUUUUAGUUACUGCGCUUUGCCUUUGCCUCCUAACGGCGCGGACGCAAAGCCAGGACUGGAGCCAAAGCCCGUUCCUCUCUGCACUCUAAAGCGUUCUGUUAUCACUCCGCCUCCA